rnacentral:rRNA from 1 species
UAGUGAAUCUUAAAACUGCGAAUGGCUCAUUAUAUCAGUUAUAGUUUAUUUGAUGAAUGAUCAUAUUUGAUAUGAUACUAUUGGAUAACCGUAGUAAUUCUAGGGCUAAUACAUAUUAGAAACUCUGUAUAGAGGAUAUUUAUUAGUAUGAAAACCAUAAGUCUUUGGACUUGUUGUGAGUAAUAAUAACUUAUAAUAUCGUAUGCUUUAGGUAACGAUAGAUCUUUUAAGUUUCUGCCCUAUCAGCUUUGGAUGGUAGUGUAUUGGACUACCAUGGCAGUAACGGGUAACGAAGAAUUUGGGUUCGAUUUCGGAGAGGGAGCCUGAGAGAUGGCUACCACAUCCAAGGAAGGCAGCAGGCGCGUAAAUUGUCCAAUCCUAAUACAGGGAGACAGUGACGAUACGUCAUAGAGGAGAACAAUAAUGUUAUCCAACUAAAUUGAGAACAAUGUAGAAGAGUUAUCGAUAAACAAUUGGAGGGCAAGUCUGGUGCCAGCAGCCGCGGUAAUUCCAGCUCCAAUAGCGUAUAUUAACGUUGUUGCAGUUAAAAAGCUC